AUUAUUAAAUUAUUUUUAUCGCUUAAUGAACUCAUCUUGAACUUUCUCGACUUAAAUCAAACAAAAAUAAUUUAGUAGCUCAUAUUUCGAAAUUUGUACUUCCCCAUACAACAUAGAUAUAAAUCGCGAAACCAAUCAAUCGCACCCAUCAGUUCUCACUUAGCCUUCAAGAACUUAAGAACAACAUCAAACAAAAACAGUAAAGAUGUUAAAAAUUUCUCUCUUCCUUUGCUUCAUUGCUGUUACAUUUGCAUUCGUCGAUAGAAAUGUGCAAGAUUUUGAACGAAGACGAUUAAUGCAAGAAAGGGAUCAACGUGAAGCUGAAGCUGCAAGACAACGCGAAUCAUCUCAAUCUCAAUUUAGCCAUCGUUUCUACAGAUCAAUAAAUCAAGAUGUUGAUUUAAAUGAGGAAUUACAAGACGUAUCAAUUAUUAGACUAAGAAGAUCUCAAUUUCAUAUUGGAAAUGUUAAAAUAAUUAAAGAAAAUGUAAAUUAAAAAUUGUUAUUUAAUGAUUAAAUAAAUAUUGUAGUUUAAC